rnacentral:rRNA from 1 species
UACGAAGGGUGCAAGCGUUACUCGGAAUUACUGGGCGUAAAGCGUGCGUAGGUGGUUUUUUAAGUCCGUUGUGAAAGCCCUGGGCUCAACCUGGGAAUGGCAGUGGAUACUGGAAAGCUAGAGUGCGGUAGAGGGUAGUGGAAUUCCCGGUGUAGCAGUGAAAUUCGUAGAUAUCGGGAGGAACACCGGUGGCGAAGGCGACCAUCUGGACGGAUACUGACGCUGAGACGCGAAAGCGUGGGUAGCAAACAGG